CGAGGGAAAUUGAUAGAAGCAGUAUAUCCAAUAGUGAUAGACUUCAAUCAAAUCAUCAGUCUUUUUCUAAAAAAUUUUGGAAUAUUUUAUGGUCUAUGAAUGUCAAAAAUAAGUAUAAACACUUCAUUCGUAAAUGAAUCGUGAAUGUGCUUCCUAUAAAUGAUAUGAUUUCUAAAAGGCUAAAAAAUAAUUGUAAUGUCUGUAAGAAUUGUGGUGAGG
rnacentral:lncRNA from 1 species